rnacentral:rRNA from 1 species
AUUGAACGCUGGCGGCAUGCUUUACACAUGCAAGUCGAACGGCAGCGCGGGCUUCGGCCUGGCGGCGAGUGGCGAACGGGUGAGUAAUACAUCGGAACGUGCCCAGUAGUGGGGGAUAGCUCGGCGAAAGCCGGAUUAAUACCGCAUACGACCUGAGGGUGAAAGCGGGGGAUCUUCGGACCUCGCGCUAUUGGAGCGGCCGAUGGCAGAUUAGCUAGUUGGUGGGGUAAAGGCCUACCAAGGCGACGAUCUGUAGCUGGUCUGAGAGGACGACCAGCCACACUGGGACUGAGACACGGCCCAGACUCCUACGGGAGGCAGCAGUGGGGAAUUUUGGACAAUGGGCGAAAGUCUGAUCCAGCAAUGCCGCGUGUGUGAUGAAGGCCUUCGGGUUGUAAAGCACUUUUGGCGGGAACGAAAAGGACUGUGCCAAUACCACGGUUCGAUGACGGUACCCGCAGAAUAAGCACCGGCUAACUACGCG